rnacentral:pre_miRNA from 1 species
UAGUUACUCCCUUCGUUCGGAAUUACUUGUCUUAAAAAUGGAUGUAUCUAGAACUAAAAUACAUCUAGAUACAUCCAUUUCUACGACAAGUAAUUCCGAACGGAGGGAAUAGUAA